rnacentral:lncRNA from 1 species
CAGGGCUCUACGAUGAUACAGCAACCAUUCGUGCUGGCACCUGUCCAGACUUUGGAUGGCCCUACGUUCAGGUCAUGACCCUUGGAUUUAAGGGAUUCUUCAGGACAAUGUCCAAUAUGAUCCGAGGGAAAAUGUAAUUUGAGCCUGGAGACAGCUGUGUAUAUCAACUAAUAAUAAAAACCAGUAUAGCUGAUAGAAGAGAAAACGU